rnacentral:rRNA from 1 species
GACGAACGCUGACGGCGUGCUUAACACAUGCAAGUCGAAGGGAGUGGCGAACGGGUGAGUAACACGUGAGUCACCUGCCCUUUUCUUUGGGAUAAGCCUGGGAAACUGGUUCUAAUACUGGAUGGUUUUGGAUGGGGUCGUGGCUUAUCAGCUUGUUGGUGGGGUGAUGGCUUACCAAGGCUUUGACGGGUAGCCGGCCUGAGAGGGUGGUCGGUAACACUGGGACUGGGAUACGGCCCAGGCUACGACGGGAGGGAGCAGUGGGGGAUAUGGCACAAUGGACGAAAGUCUGAUGCAGCGACGUCGUGUGGGGGCUGAAGGCCUUAGGGUUGUAAACUCCUUUCGCCCGCGGAAUGGUAGUGGGUAAAGAAGCGCCGGCUAACUACGUGCCAGCAGCCGCGGUAAUAC